GAAAUGAAGGCCGACGCUCAGCCACUGAGCCACCCAAGUGCCCGGAACCCAGGGAUGCUGGAUUUUGUUGACUUGGUCUACUUACAGAUCCUCAUCAUAUCCUGCUUGGACAGCUGCCACCAUCUCUGGAAUUCUGAUCUCUAAACUCAUCUCUCUUCUAUUCACCUCCUAUGAUGUCACCAGGUUAUCAUUCUACAGCAGAAAUCUGAUCAUGUCAUUCCCACGCAAAACACCUACCCAAAGGAUCUAAAAGUCCUUGGCAUAAUAAGGCAAGUCGUUAGUCAUUCAUCUUUCAACAAAUAUUUACUGGGCGCUGAUUAUGUAUCAAGCUCUAUGCUAGCUGGCUAAGUGUGAAAAGUAUGGUGACAAACUGGAGAGAUGUGCCCUGUACCUUCAUGGAAUUUAUAUUCUAGUAGGGAGACAAAUAAACAACCACAUAAGCAAUAUAAUUAUGACUUGGAUAAACAUGAAAUUGUUAUUAA